rnacentral:rRNA from 1 species
AGCUAGCGGCGAGUGAGCGGCAAGAGCUAGAUUUGAAAUCGUGUUUCGGCACGAGUUGUAGAGUGUAGGCGGGAGUCUCUGUGGAGCGCGGUGUCCAAGUCCCUUGGAACAGGGUGCCUGAGAGGGUGAGAGCCCCGUAGGGUGCUGCGCGAAGCUUUUGAGGCCCUGCUGACGAGUCGAGUUGUUUGGGAAUGCAGCUCCAAGCGGGUGGUAAAUUCCAUCUAAGGCUAAAUAUUGGCGAGAGACCGAUAGCGAACAAGUACUGUGAAGGAAAGAUGAAAAGCACUUUGAAAAGAGAGUGAAACAGCACGUGAAAUUGUUGAAAGGGAAGGGUAUUGGGCUCGACAUGGGGGGUGCGCACCGCUGUCUCUUGUAGGCGGCGCUCUGGGCGCCCUCUGGGCCAGCAUCGGUUCCUGCUGCGGGAGAAGGGGCUCCGGAAAGUGGCUCUUCGGAGUGUUAUAGCCGGGGCCAGAUGCCGCGUGUGGGGACCGCGGACUGCGGCUACUGUCUCGGAUCUGGCAUAACGGCGCAAUACCGCCCGUCUUGAACAC